rnacentral:rRNA from 1 species
UACGUAGGAAGCAAGCGUUGUCCGGAAUCACUGGGCGUAAAGCGCGUGUAGGCGGAUCGCUAAGUCUGUGGUGAAAGCGCCUGGCUUAACCGGGCGAGGUCCAUGGGAACUAGCGGUCUGGAGGCCGGUAGAGGGGGGUGGAAUUCCGGGUGUAGUGGUGAAAUGCGUAGAGAUCCGGAGGAACACCAGUGGCGAAGGCGGCCCCCUGGGCCGCGCCUGACGCUGAGACGCGAAAGCGCGGGGAGCGAACGGG